rnacentral:tRNA from 1 species
GGACGGAUGGCUGAGUCUGGUUGAAGGCACCGGUUUUGAAAACCGGCGUACGGGAAACCGUACCGGGGGUUCGAAUCCCUCUCCGUCCG